rnacentral:rRNA from 1 species
AACGAACGCUGGCGGCAGGCUUAACACAUGCAAGUCGAACGCAUCCUUCGGGGUGAGUGGCAGACGGGUGAGUAACGCGUGGGAACGUGCCCUUCAGUUCGGAAUAACCCAGGGAAACUUGGGCUAAUACCGGAUACGUCCGAGAGCAGAAAGAUUUAUCGCUGAAGGAUCGGCCCGCGUCUGAUUAGCUAGUUGGGGAGGUAAUGGCUCACCAAGGCGACGAUCAGUAGCUGGGCUGAGAGGAUGAUCAGCCACAUUGGGACUGAGACACGGCCCAAACUCCUACGGGAGGCAGCAGUGGGGAAUAUUGGACAAUGGGCGCAAGCCUGAUCCAGCCAUGCCGCGUGAGUGAUGAAGGCCUUAGGGUUGUAAAGCUCUUUCAGUGGGGACGAUAAUGACGGUACCCGCAGAAGAAGCCCCGGCUAACUUCGUGCCAGCCGCCGCCGUAA